rnacentral:tRNA from 1 species
UCUGAUAUGGCAGAUUAGUGCAAUGAAUUUAAGAUUCAAAAAUAAAUAUUUAUAUUUUUUCAGAA